rnacentral:misc_RNA from 1 species
GAUGAAGAACGCAGCGAAAUGCGAUAAGUAGUGUGAAUUGCAGAAUUCAGUGAAUCAUCGAAUCUUUGAACGCACAUUGCGCCCCUUGGUAUUCCAUGGGGCAUGCCUGUUCGAGCGUCAUUUGUACCUUCAAGCUUUGCUUGGUGUUGGGUGUUUGUCUCGCCUUUGCGUGUAGACUCGCCUUAAAAUAAUUGGCAGCCGGCGUAUUGAUUUCGGAGCGCAGUACAUCUCGCGCUUUGCACUCAUAACGACAGCGUCCAAAAGUACAUUUUACACUCUUGACCUCCGAUCAGGUAGGGAUACCCGCUGAACUUAAGCAUAUCAAUAAGCGGAGGA